rnacentral:misc_RNA from 1 species
ACGAGUUUUAAUUGUUAGGUUAGAGUUGAGCUGGUUAAUCUAAUUAAUAUGUGCUUACUCUAAUCGAAACAAGUCCACUCAUUACUUAACACUUGUGAACUUAUUCAUUACAAACAUUAUUAUUUGUUAUUGGAAGCGUUUGAUUAUUAAAAAGUUAAUA